GACGAACGCUGGCGGCGUGCUUAACACAUGCAAGUCGAACGGAAAGGCCCUGCUUUUGUGGGGUGCUCGAGUGGCGAACGGGUGAGUAACACGUGAGUAACCUGCCCUUGACUUUGGGAUAACUUCAGGAAACUGGGGCUAAUACCGGAUAGGAGCUCCUGCUGCAUGGUGGGGGUUGGAAAGUUCGGCGGGUGGGGAUGGACUCGCGGCUUAUCAGGGUGUUGGUGGGGUAGUGGCUUACCAAGGCUUUGACGGGUAGCCGGCCUGAGAGGGGGACCGGCCACAUUGGGACUGAGAUACGGCCCAGACUCCUACGGGAGGCAGCAGUGGGGAAUAUUGCACAAUGGGCGGAAGCCUGAUGCAGCAACGCCGCGUGCGGGAUGACGGCCUUCGGGUUGUAAACCGCUUUCGCCUGUGACGAAGCGUGAGUGACGGUAAUGGGUAAAGAAGCACCGGCUAACUACGUG
rnacentral:rRNA from 1 species